UACGGAGGGUGCUAGCGUUAUCCGGAAUCACUGGGCGUAAAGGGCGCGUAGGCGGCCUGUUAAGUCCGAUGUUAAAGGGCGGGGCUCAACCCCGUCACGGCGUUGGAUACUGGCAGGCUUGACGGCUGGAGAGGUGAGUGGAAUUACCAGUGUAGCGGUGGAAUGCGUAGAUACUGGUAGGAACACCCAUUGCGAAGGCAGCUCACUGGACAGCACGUGACGCUGAGGCGCGAAAGCGUGGGGAGCAAACCGG
rnacentral:rRNA from 1 species